UCCAAUAAGUGUCCAAGCUCACGAUCGC
rnacentral:sRNA from 1 species